AUUGUUUUGCUCUUGAUAAUCUGCAAUUGGUAGUUGUUGAUACACGUUCCAAAGUCCAAAAAUGCUUAAUUCUCCAGCCUUCACGCUGCCAACGUGAAUACGGAUUCACAAAAAAACUUGGCCGCACAGGAAAGAAGCUCACUGUGGACCUACUUCUGCACAAUUGUACUUUUCAUAGUGUAUAUUGUGUAUAUUUCAUGUGGUCACUUUCUAAAUGACCCUCAGAACCAGCAAAGUUAGUCUUUAUCCCAUCUGACAGCAUUUUAACCUAUAUCUCUAAAAUCAAAGCAUUUUAGUGCCUUGAGUAUCUUUUGCACAUCUGUUUAGUUCUCUAAUAAUGCUUUGGUUGUAUCUGGAACCCAGAAAGUGAGAAUGCUUCUGAUGUUUCACAAUAUGUCUAAACAACUGCUGACCAGAUCUUUGAACAUGCACAGAAAUGGUGACUGUCAAAAGUAUUUUGCUGGUUAGCUGAGGUAUAUGAAAGGGAUCAUUAGUACAGCAUGGGACAGGGCAGCUAGGUAUAAUGCUCUUAAGACCUUUGAUGUGGGGAGGUAAAGAUAAAUGAACAGUUUAAAUUUUGUCUGAGACGCAAGAUGCUAAGCCACGCUACUCUCUCAAGGGAGGGAUGAGUAACCUUGAGCCCUUCUUACUACAGCUACUACAGAACAGUGGCUGCAGGUUACACAUUUCCCCUCAUGGGGCGGAAAUAAUGAGAUAAAGGAAAUCUGUGCUUGUGAAAGUUGUUAAUCCCAUAUUAAAACAGACCUUGGGCUGGAUGGUGCAACAAGAUGAAGACCUUUCAUCUGUCUGGAUUCACAUCAGGCACAGACUGUUGUAAAGGCCCAAUGUAGGGCAGUUUUAAUGUUGUUCAUUGGAGGAUACAAGCUCAGGACAACUCAAUUUGCCACUAAAAAGUUGCAUGGGAAAAGAAAAUAUUCUUAAUGCUCUUAAGAGUUGACAUUAAAGACACUUGGGGAGGGUGGUGGAGGAAAUUUUACUUUACAUAUAAUCCAGAUUGUUCCUGACCUGUGGGUGCUUGCUGUGGAUAAUUAGGAUCAUUUCUCAGCACAGAUAUUCUUGAACAUGGUGUCACCAAAAUGUCAUGUUUACAUUUUAUUCAAUGUAAAGGGAGAUAACUGCUGGUUAUCUAGAAAGCUCAAUGUUAUGUCUCUAUUAAUGCUGGUUAGCUGCCACCUGGAAAUAGAUAUUUUAUACACAACAUUAGUGUCAAUGGGAAUAGUCAGUCCAACAUUUCAGUUUGGGCUAUUAAUCAAGGGAGAUUCCUGCAAUAAAUACUGAUUCAAUAUUAUCUUUUCUGAACAAUGGAACAAAGCAAUGUCAAAUACAGAUUACUAAACAGAUGCAGCUUUUUUUAAACAUUGGGAUUAUGUGGCAAUCCAGUAGAAUAUACAUCCUCUUUCAACUCUGAAACACAACAAAUUUUAACUAUCCAUUAUAACUUCCAUUGGGUUCCUUCCAAAAAAGAUCCAGCUCUCAUCAGCCCACUUCCUCUUGCAAAGCCAAAAGUGGUUUCACUUCUGUAACUUUUUUUUGUAAAUUUUUGGAAAAUUAGAAUUUUAUCUCAUCAGUUAAUUUAGAGAAAAAUAUUUUUGCAUGGUGUAAAUGUAUAUUCAAGAUGCCAUGUUUGUGUUCUUUCCCACCUUUCAGCAGUGGGACAGAACAGGCAUUUUAAACCAAUACUAAAGAGAAACCAGUGUUCUGCAAUAUGCACAUACAAAAAUUCAACUGGAGUUAAAUUAAGUUUUUGAAUGCACUGGAUAACUGAUAUAUUCACUUUUAAAAUAAUUAUGGCAGUCUUUGUUUUAAAUAAAACAUCAGCAAUGGCACUUAAUCUUGUUUCAGAGGGUUACAGGACUGAAUCUUACAAGAGGUUAUGGAUACUUGCUGAUGGUUAAAUAUAUGUUAAACACUUGGUGUUUAAUUUCCUCUGGCAGCCCACUGGUUAACAUAUUGGCAUUUUUUUUAACUCAGUUAUGCACUCAUUUGAAAUAAUUUGAUUAUUGACUAAUAAUAGCCCUCAAAGGAAACUUUAACUGAGCACCCCAAACUACCAGGGGAAAUUGUCUAUUUAGUCAACUUCCUGAUGUGUAUGAAUUUGGAUCUAAUCCCAUAAAAGUAUAGCACCUGCAACAUACUUGUAAAAUGUUGAUCCAUAUAUUUCCUAGGGCUGUCACAAAUGGCAGAUCAAUGACUGCAAAAUUAAAAGCUCUGUUCUCCUACUGUUUCUGUUUUAAUAACUAUCCUGGCAUGAGUAUGAUUCUCUCUGUCCUAAUUUGAAUUCCAAAUACACAAGCUUGAAUGCUUGUAAGUAGUCAUUAGGUUUACAUCAGUUUGCAAAGACUAACAUAGGAAAUCAGAGCAGAAAGAGGCCAUUUGGCCCCUCAAGCCUGUUCUGCCAUUCAACAAGAUUGUGGCUGAUCAUCCACCUCAACGCCAUUUUCCUGAGCAUUCUCUGUAUCCCUUGAUACCUUUAAUAUCUAAAAAUCUAUCGAUCUCUACAUUUAGUGACUGAACCUCCAUAGCUCUUUGGGGUAGACGAUUCCAAAGAUUCACCACCCUCUUAUGUGAACAUGAGUCCAUCCAUCUUCAUGGAGUGAGGAUGAGGAAUAGAACAAUGGGCAAAGCCCUCCAUAAUAUAUUUUAACCUUAACUUGGGUGUAAAGACACUGGAUUACCCCAGUUGUCACUUGUAUUGUUUCAGCACUUUAAUCACUUGUAUUGCUUGUACUUGUUUUUCUUCCCAGCAGUUUUGUAAUGUCUUAAAGGAAAUGCCUUAGUUUAGUUUUAAAUAUUUUCAGUAGUGUAUUGGGCUGAUCAAUCCAUAGAGCAAACUAUGUCUUGUGUGUGUGGUUUUCCAGGUGAUGACUUGUGGAAUCUCUAGUUUUAUAUCAAGUACUGUUAGGUUUUCAGACAAGUAAAACUACCACAGAUACUAGAACAAUGCCAGGAAGUUCCCUGGUAACUACAAGCAAUCUUGUCUGAUGGUAGGUCAAAGGGGCAAGAAUAUUAGCGCAAAUGACCUCUUUCGGCUCAUUCAAGACCAGGCUCUUGCUGGUUCAGUCCUAGUAACACCAGCUUUUUUCAACCCCACUUCCAGACUUUGGGUGGGGGACAAGAGAUGAAAGGAAAACUAACAACGUGAAGUGGACAUAUUCAUGCAUCUAGAUUGAUGAAGCAAUUCAAAAGUGCUACCAUUUACAUAAAGCUAUCUCCCAAACUCAAUGGUUAUAGUUUGCUUGUAUUAAUUGAAAAGCAGGGCCUUGCGUGGCAUGUUGAUAUGGGGUUAGGUUCCUGUGACUCAGUGAAUGAACUUGUUCAAAAAGGAGGCAAAGAGAAAGGAAAUUACAGACCCGUUAGCCUGACAUCUAUCAUUGGGAAAAUACUAAAAUCCAUUAUUAAGGAGUAAUAAUAGGGCUUUUAGAAAAUCAGACAGAAUCAAUGUGAUUUUGUGAAAGGGAAAUAGUGUUUGAUAUGAAUUGGAAUUUUUUGAGGGUGUAAUAGAGUGGAUGAAGAGGGACCAGUGGUCUAUUUGGACUUUCAGAAGGCAUUCGAUAAUGUGCUGCACAAAAGAUUAUUGCCAAAAGAAGAGUGCAGAGGGAUAGGGUAACGUAUUAGGACAGAUAGAGGCUUGGUUAUAGAACAGAAAACAAUAGGAAUAAAAUGGUCAUUUACCGUUUAGGAGGCAGUUGUUAGAUCAGUUCUGGAGCCUCAACUAUUUAUAUUAAUGACUUAAAGGAAGGCACUGAGUGUAACGUAUCCAGGUUUGCUAAUGAUGCAAAGCUAGGCAGGAAGGAAAUCUGUGAGGAGGGCAUAUAGUCUGCAAAGGGAUAAAGACAGGCUAACUGAAGCAAGAAGGUGGCAGAUGGAGUAUAAUGUGGGGGAAUUCACUUUUUUGGAAAGUAAUGUUCUCUGUGGAAACGACCUGAAAGCCGCAGUGACCUGAAGGACCCCAGACAACUCAGCCAUGCAAAAAAUAUUUAAAGGGUCCAUGCACUUAAAUGGCACACCCCCCGCCCCCCCCAAAAAAAAACUAGAGGGCACGUUGGUAAGAAUAGAAAAACAGGACUUUCUUUUAAUGGUAAGAAACUUCUAAGAGUUGGUGUUCAGAGGGAUUUCGAUGUCCUUGUACAAAAACACAGGCCCAAAACUUCCAAUCAAAGUCGGAAACCGUGUGUCCAACACUGAUCAAACAGAAUACCACCCACUUGUCUGCAUACGUUGAAAAGGCUACAAUUUCCAAUCCAUGAUGCAGAGGAACUCCCUCCUCACAGAGAGCAGUGAAGAGAAUCUGUGCAGAAACAACACUCCUUUUGUAUGGCACCAGCUGCCAUAUUCUGGUGUUACUGGAGUUCUAUGCUUGUGGGAUCAGUAACUUAUCCUCCUCGUUUUCAAAAUACCAAAAAAAGUGCUUUUGGCCCCACCUGGAUUGUAUCAAAAACUUGGAGGGUCUGGACCACGAUCAUAACAACAAUGAUGCCACAGCCACAGUGACUCAGAAUGAACUUGAUUAACUCUUUGCAUUGGAUGCUGAAAACAAUGAAUUUGACAAUUUUAAAAACAUUUUGAUGUUUAAAGAUAUACUUGUAGAAUUAAUUCAUUCAAUAAAAGUAUCACAUUGA